rnacentral:rRNA from 1 species
UUACAACGAAGAGUUUGAUCCUGGCUCAGGAUGAACGCUAGCGGGAGGCCU